UGGCAGCACCGGCUGGAGGGCUCCUCUCUGCCCAUCCCAGCGAAGCCCUGGAGCCCUCAGCCCCAGCAAGCCCCCCGUGGAGCAGGUGUCCGGGCUGGACAGGGCUCUGCAUGCAUGUCUGGGGCUCCUGGAACACAGCACCACAUGCCCGGCGGCCCAGAGCAACAGAAAUCUACUUUCUUCCAGCUCUGGAGGCUGGAGGCUCAAGGCUGCUUCUCCCGAGGCCUCUCCGGGGUGCUUCCUCACAUCGUGGGCCCUGCGUACCUGUCUGUGUCCUAAUUCCCCUUCCUAAGGACACCGGGCACGUUGGAUUGGGGGCCACCCUGCUCCUGUGGCCUCAUCUUAACUAAUCUGCAACCACGGCUCCUUCGAGAGCAGUGGAUCCGGGCCAAGUACGAGCGACAGGAGUUCAUCUACCCGGAGAAGCAGGAGCCCUACUCGGCAGGGUACCGUGAGGGUUUUCUCUGGAAGCGUGGCCGGGACAACGGGCAGUUUUUGAGCCGGAAGUUUGUGCUGACAGAACGAGAGGGUGCUCUGAAGUAUUUCAACAGAAAUGAUGCCAAGGAGCCCAAGGCCGUGAUGAA
rnacentral:lncRNA from 10 species